GCACGGCCGCGUGCUGGCGGGUGUGACCUGAGCUUCUCCUCGGCAGGACGUGCCUUGCGCGGGCUUCGCGGCCAGGGGCACACGGGCUAGUGUUCUCCCUGGCUUCCCCGCCCCAGUGUCUCCUGCACGUGCUGGCAGCGGGGAGCUUCAGCGGGCUUCGCCCUGAAGCCACUGAGUCAAUCGUGGUCGAAGCACGGAGUCCGGCUAGGGCAUCUGCCCCCUCUGGCGCAGCGCCUCUCCCGGCGCUGCCCAGGGGCGUGUCCAGCCGUCUGCCGGCAGUCGCUGCCGCAGAGCAUCUCUCGGGGGCUGGUAGUUCGGGUGCCCGGGCAGUCAGCGUGGCUAUAGCCUUCUCUUUCCUCUGCAUUGGUGUUUCCGUGUAAGGGAUGGGGGAUUUAUAUGACAUUAAGUAACGUGGGCGCGGUACCACUCCAGCCACCGUGGAGACGGGAUUGGAACUCAAGCCUCCACGCUCCAGUUCCUGUGCUCACUACUGGAGGCACUAAUGCUGCCUGUAGAGUCCUUCUUGUCUUGCAAUUAAUGGUUGGGUGUGACCGCUUUUGACAAACUGUCAAUAGCCAGAAGCUAUUGAUGGUGCUAAAAAUGCACAUAGCACUUGAGGGAAGAGGGAUAGCCUAUGGGGAGGGCCAGCCUGCUUUACCAUCAGUACUGGCAUAAACAUCCACUGCAUUUGCUAGAGCCUGAGUCAAGGGGAUGCCAGAAUAGAGCUGUGUCUGAGCUCUUGCUGUGUUUACAACUAUUAGGGGAGCGCUGUCUCAAACUUUAUACUGCUUGUAAACACGAUGUAACUUUUCGUAGUUUACUAGGCUUGUCAAGGGUGGCUGAGUCUUAGAAUGUGUUUUUCCCAAAAGCUGGAAUAGCAUAAUUGCUCAGACAAAAAUACUGUAGACUUUUGCAUUAUACAGUUAGCCCCUUUGAUCACUGGUAGAUCAAAAUACAGUAACUUCUCGCUUAACGUAGUUAUGAGCCUGAAAAAUGCUACAUUAAGUGAAACAAAGUUAAGUGAAUCCAAUUCCCCAUAAGAAUUAAUGUAAAUAGGGGGAGUUAAGGGGGGGGGGGAGAUUUUGGCAGACAAAAGACUAUAUUUUAUAUGCAGUAUAAGUUUUAAACAAUACUGUACUCAUCAGUGACAAUUGUGGAGCUUGGUUGAGGUGGUGGAGUAAGAGGGUGGGAUAUUUCCCAGGGAAUGCCUUACUCCUAAAUGAUGAACUAGCACUGGGCUGAGCCCUCAAGGGUUAACACAUUGUUAAUGUAGCCUCACACUCUACAAGGCAGCACCAAUGGCGGGAGGGGAGCCAGCAUGGCAGAGAGAGACAGAAACACACCUUGUGUGGGAGAGACAGAUGGGCAUUGCCCCUUUAAGUACGCUGACCCCCUCUAAGUAUCUUGCCUUUUUAAGUAGAUCUGCAAGCAGAGUAGCUGCUGCCAGCAAGCUCCUUCCACCCUGAGCCCUGUCUUGUGUCCCCUGCUCUUGGGGGGAGGAGGGGGAAGAAGGACACCCUCACAUUAGCAUGUGCACGCACCCUCCUGUGCACAAGAAGCAGAAGGCUCCUGGGAGCAGCUCCAAGGCAGUGGGGGGCGGGACAGCUGAACUGCCCAGCAAUUGAUAGCCUGCUGGGUGGCUGUGCACAGGGAACUUAGGGGAGCUAAUGGAGAGCUGCCAGUCCCCCCUGCUAGUUCCAACUGGCUGCUCUUUCUGCAAGCAGUGGGCAAAACAGGUGGCUCCCAAAGCUCCCAUACAACAGAAGGGAGCAUUGCACAACUUUAAGUGAGCAUGUUCUCUAAUUGAUCAGCAACAUAACUUAACCAGGAUGAUUUUAAAUGAGGAGUUACUAUAAAGGGGAAGAUCUUUCAGAUGGCAGUAAGAUAGUUCCCAGUGGUUCUGCCCGGCCAUACUGCAACAUAUCUGAUACUUGCAUUUUGUGAUAAUACUGUUCUUGUUUACACUAUGCAGAUAGUAAUGCACUUCUGAAGGCUUAAUAGUCAAAAGUUGCAGUUCCUUGUGUAAGUUAAUCUUUUAUACAUUGAACUUUGACUCUUAAUUAUCUGUCUGUCUGAAAAAAAUCAUGAAUUUGCCCCUUGAAAUAGCUACAGUUUUAGUCUGUGCAGAUGUUUUGGCCUCCUGAACCAUGUUUAAAGGUGACUUGUAUAUCUGGACAGUAGCAUCUGACUUGAAAUUACAAGCCCUGAAGUUUGGUUUUUCAAACAGUGAUUAUUGGGACAGUAUUAUCCUUCAUGCUCACAAGGGGCAGAACAUUAGCUAUGAAAACCAAGUAGUAUUGCAAUUAUGGUACAGUAAAUGACAUCUUCAGAAACAGUGUUUACUGCAAAAAUGUUAUCUUUAGCUGGUCAGAUAUAAUAAAUGAAGGUAAUCAGAAAAGGAGAGGUGAACUACUUGGAUAUCUGUCCAAAAAAAAAAAAAGCUUGUCAAUAUAACCCAAAUGGAGUACAUUAGUUUUAAUUGAAACCUUGCAAAAAUACAUAUUUUUAAGUGAAAUUUUCUGACUUUCCAUUAUGCCUGAGACCUGUAUAGCUGUUUAUAUUUCUACAUAUUAGUUGGUAAUUGAGUUUUUAAAUCUGUCAGAGGAUUUUUCAUUUCCUUUUUAAAAAACAAAAAAAAGUAAAACUUUCAUAGAAAUUCAUAUGUAGGGUGUUAAUAUGAAAUCUUAAAUUUUAUCCAUGUACUCAUCUUUCCAGUAGCAUGUGUAGAAUUUCCAGUGGCACAGAUUUACCAGUAUUGGACAGUAGUAUUGACUUAGGGUUGGUGGGACUCAAGUCAGCGUUAAGGAACUCUGGGCUUGAGCAUCUACAUUGUAUUUAAACCCUACAUUCAGACUUUCCUAACCCAUGCUCAAACCUAGGGCUCAGGCAUACACACUGCAGUGUGCAGACCUAACUCAGAGUAACCAUAUCCCAGAGUCCCUAACACUCGCCCCUGAAGUGUGGCCAGUCUAGCCCUAGGAUUGUGAUACAGUGUGGGACAUCUUUAGUGCCCACUCGGCCCCUUUACCAUGAAGCUUCUUGCUCUGCAAGAGGCUUGAUCAGCUCGCUUUCCACUGCAAAUCCAGGAGAUUUUUGAUAGUGUAUUUGCAGAAUGGUGAUCAGAACAGAAUGGUUUAACGCUGACCUGAGGUGCUGUGAUCUGCAAAAGGGGUGGUGGAGGUAGCUUCCCUUUUCAAUAGAGUGGGUUGCAGAUUGUUGGAGGUAAGAGGGCUCAGGAAGUUGUUGCAUGGAACUGUGGGAUACUUCCAACUGAUUCUUGGGAUCUCUGUGAAGCAGGGCUGCAGCUACAUUUCAAAGCAAUAGGGUUUGGAUCCUGGGCUUGACUCGAACUAGGGACCCACCAGCCCUGCCAGGGUCUUGGUCCUGGCUUAACACAAUUUGCAGCAGACACACCACGGCAUUAGCCUUGAGCCCAGGCUCUAACACAGUCUUACAUUGAAGUGUAGACAUCCUAAAUGUUCAACAAUUAGGGGCAAGAUUCCUUUUUAAACUUCGGUGCAUUCAAGAUGCUAAAUAUUAUUAGAUGGUGUUUUUCUGAAUGACCAAAUUUUAGGUUAGUGUUUUUCCAAUCUUAUUUUUCAUAAUGUCUGCAUCUUGUACUUUGACCAAGCAUUUUUCUGCAAAGAAAAGAACAUAUUUACCAUUUAAUCCCUGUUCACUUUGGGCUGCCAAACUGGUAGCUGUAUGUGAGUGUACUGGCCGAAGCCCUGCUUGAGUGAGAAAAUACUGUCAGGGUUUGAGUAUGGUUUGCCAUCAUAACCACUUUGCAUCUCUGAUUAGUGUUUAUGGGAACUAUAUUAAAACUUUGUGAAAACAUAAAACACUGGUAUGAAGAGGACCUUAAAUAAUGAAAUUAUAGAAAAUGUGUGAAAUUUAAACUAUACAUCACCCUGACCUUGGGGAUUUUCAGAAAAUUGCAUACGUAAGCCACCCCCUAUCGACAUAGACAUGAACAAGACCUAAAAUCAGGUAUGUCUCACUAGCAUUUAAUUAUAAAACAUAGCCAUACAGGAGUAAUAUUACUAACUUGAGUUGUUGGGGUUUUUUUGGGGGGGGGAGAUUCAUAAGUUUCACAUGUUUUUAAAAGUAAAAAUGGAGAACAUAGCCAACUACCUACCACAAAUCUGCUAUUUUACACUAGAUUAUAACAGAUUUGAUCUUUUAAACUGUUUUAUGUGAGACACGGUGGUGAGGUAAUAACUUUUAUUGAGCUAUCUUCUGUUGGUGAGAGAGACAAGCUUUUGAGUUUACACAGAGCUCUUCAGGUAAAAAGCAAUUCUGUAAGGUUGAAAGCUUGUCUGUCUCUCCAACAGAAGGUGAAUAAAAGACAUUACCUCACCCCCCUUGUCUCUCUCAUAUCCUGGGAGUGACAUGACUUCAACAACACUGGCUUUUGUGACACUUUUCUAGUAGUUUUAAGUACUUUUUUUGCAAGGUUAGCGAUAAGUGGCUUUUUGCUGUUUAAAGCUGAAAGUUGGGGAGUCUCCACUUUAUUCAUAGUAGUAAAGCUGUGAGCCCAGUAAUCAAGUGAAAUGUGAUUAUUUCAAUGGAAAUAGCAUGUGCUUGCCUCCCAGCAUGAUCCCCUUGAAGUGUAUUCAUUGACAAACUGCCCAAAAUGAAGUGAGAUUAUGUAAAUUGUGCAAAAUCCAGGAUUUGAAAUAAAUGGGAACAUUUUUCACAAUGAACGCUGUCAAUGGUUCCUACUUUUAUUUCAAGUCACUUUAUGCCAAAUGUUGGUUCAGUGGUCUUCUGGUCACUCCUGAAGUAUACCAUUCCUUUUUGGAAAAUAGAUGGUUACCUUGGUCUGUGUACUUUUAUUUGGAAAUGUUUGAGACCUGCAAAUACUGAUCCUGUUCAUUUGAAUGACCAAAUAAGAGUGGCAGGCACUGAACCUCUCUCAGAAUAGUACUUACUAACCUUGUCUUCACAUGGAAAAAGGUAUUUGCAUGUUUUUUACCAGUUUUAAAAACACAUCCUUGUCUAGUGAAGACAUAGCCAGUGAAAGAUAAUAUAGUUGUACUGAAUGCCCUCUGUCCUUUAUUUGAGUUAUUUAACAUACUGAUGCCCUGUUUAUGGCAUGCUUACACAUCAAUUUUAAAUUUGUUACUAAUAAAUACAGAACAUGUCACAAUGUUAGUUGUGAAUAAGUAAUUUAUGUAAUUUCAAUAGUAUUCAAGCUGUAUGAGAGGAACAGCCUACUCCAUGCGUUGAAAAUACUUAAGCAUGGCUCAUUCCAAACAUUAGGCCACAAUCAACUUAAAUAUCACACCUCUGAAUUAAUCUGCUAUAGUUAUAAGUAACUAAUAUUACUAAAACUGAAAGAUUUUCAGUUUGUUUCCCCUCUUAAGUGGAACUUUUACAUAGUGACUAAGAAUAAGAAACACUUGGGAAAAUGUGAUUGUAAACUCAAAAUUAACAGGAAAUCAGGGUUAAGUGCAUUAUCUGAAACAGCUUUAUAUUUUUAAAUUAAAAUUCAGGUUGAGUAUCCCUUUAAGAUAACUGAAGCCCUGCUACUUGUCAUUUAAUUAUUAUAGAAAUGAAUGUGAGGUAUUUCCACAAAAACUUUAAAAUAACAGGUUUUCUUUUACCUAUUUGUGCUUGCCUUAUGCCUUACAGCUUUCACCACAUGGAGAACGCUUGAAAAUAAUCUACCUUCUUAGAGAUAUUUCUGCUUUUAUAACUUUUCCAUAUUUUUAGUAAAAUAAAUGUUAAUUCUUCUAUUAUCAUAACUAUCAUUGUAAUUAAUGGAAUGCCACAAAUAAUAAUGAAAACACAGAAGGCAUAGAUUUGAGUUUCUGGCCUCUUGUAUUCCCUUUUUAAGUGCAUUAAGUGUAUAUUUUAUCAUGUGUAUGCCAAAAAUAGGUGGCAUGACUGCUACAGGAGCUACAACCCUGAAUCUGCUGGCUUCCAUGCACUCUCAAAAUCUGAAGUUGAAGGAAGGAAAAAUGUGAAUGAAUAUAGUAGCAGAUACAGGGAAAGGGUGGGGGAGUUACAAUCCUAAAAUAAGCCCCCUCUGCAGUUCUGAAAUUCAGGUUUAGAAAACUAUUUAGAUGUAAAACAUUGGAUAAGCAAAUUUCCAAUGGGAUGUGCAGUGGUAUGAAACUAAUUACAAUCCUUGACAGAUUCACAGUCUUGCUUAGAGCUAGGGAGAAAAGGACCCCAACUUCUCUUCUGCUACCCCUCCCCUCCAGCCAUAGCACAAGCAGAAACUUACCCUGCCUUUGCUGCUUCUGUGCAUAGCAAGCCUCCAGCAGACAUCUUAAUACAGAGGAGAGCAUAGAGCAAUACAAGUAUGAAGAGAGGAAAACUCAGACUGGGAAGAGCAAAACCAAGCAAACUAGAAGCUGAAAAAUGUUAAUGUUGAAGAAGGAAAAUGCGGAAGUCGUCAUUUGACAAGUUUUAUAAAUGAGAAUUAUUUGAAGCUCAGGAAUAAGUGAAGCUGAAAUUUGAAAAAAAAAAAGAAAGUGAAUGCAUGCUAAUUAUCAGACCAGAAGUCCCACUUAUAGAAUAUUGAGCAAUUUGUGUGAAGUGGGGAAGAUGAAAGAAGUCAGAAUUU